AUCGCUUCUCGGCCUUUUGGCUAAGAUCAAGUGUAGUAUCAAGCGUGAUAAUAGCUAUCCUAAGGGGUGUGAGGUGAAAACAACUCAAUGGUUUUGAUUUGAAUUCCUGUUGAUUAGUGAUGUGCAUAAACUUCUCAUAAUCCUGUUUCAUCAUUUUUAAGUUAUUUUUGGAGAAAUGUCUACUUAAGGCCCU
ensembl:snRNA U2 U2 spliceosomal RNA